AGUGAACGCUGGCGGUAGGCCUAACACAUGCAAGUCGAACGGCAGCACAGUAAGAGCUUGCUCUUACGGGUGGCGAGUGGCGGACGGGUGAGGAAUACAUCGGAAUCUACUUUUUCGUGGGGGAUAACGUAGGGAAACUUACGCUAAUACCGCAUACGACCUACGGGUGAAAGCAGGGGAUCUUCGGACCUUGCGCGAUUGAAUGAGCCGAUGUCGGAUUAGCUAGUUGGCGGGGUAAAGGCCCACCAAGGCGACGAUCCGUAGCUGGUCUGAGAGGAUGAACAGCCACACUGGAACUGAGACACGGUCCAGACUCCUACGGGAGGCAGCAGUGGGGAAUAUUGGACAAUGGGCGCAAGCAUGAUCCAGCCAUACCGCGUGGGUGAAGAAGGCCUUCGGGUUGUAAAGCCCUUUUGUUGGGAAAGAAAAGCAGCAGGUUAAUACCCCGCUGUUCUGACGGUACCCAAAGAAUAAGCACUGGCUAACUUCGUG
rnacentral:rRNA from 1 species